rnacentral:pre_miRNA from 1 species
GUGGCAGCUUGGUGGUCGUAUGUGUGGUGCCAUUUAUUUAACCUUUAGAAGUGACAUCACAUAUACGGUGGCUAAACUGCUAC